rnacentral:lncRNA from 1 species
AAAUAAAGAGCCGUGUCAGCCGCCGUACAAAAUGAACAUGUCGCAAGGGGAGUGCAUUUCCUGCCAUUUUAUGAGCCGGGCUCUACGAGCUACCGAUUAAGCCAGCUUUGCUCCCCUGCUCCAAGAGCUGGCUGAGAUGGACCACCAUCAAAACCAAAUGUAGUGCAACAAGGUUAAUGAGCUUAACGUAGCUAAAGCCUGGAGACACGGCACAUGCAUGAUGUCCUGGGAUGCUUUUAUAAGGAAUAAAAUGGAUGCAGACAAACUAAGGCUGUCCUCUACACUCAUUCCCCAACUGUUACUUUAAUGGGUACCCUAGGACUCACCGCUGGAUUUCUUCAUUAAAACCUAAUUUCUUCUCCUGAUAGAAACUG